rnacentral:rRNA from 1 species
GCUGGCGGCGUGCUUAACACAUGCAAGUCGAACGGUAAGGCCCCUUCGGGGGUACACGAGUGGCGAACGGGUGAGUAACACGUGGGUGAUCUGCCCUGCACUCUGGGAUAAGCCUGGGAAACUGGGUCUAAUACCGGAUAUGAGCUCCUGUCGCAUGGCGGGGGUUGGAAAGGUUUACUGGUGCAGGAUGGGCCCGCGGCCUAUCAGCUUGUUGGUGGGGUAAUGGCCUACCAAGGCGACGACGGGUAGCCGGCCUGAGAGGGCGACCGGCCACACUGGGACUGAGACACGGCCCAGACUCCUACGGGAGGCAGCAGUGGGGAAUAUUGCACAAUGGGCGAAAGCCUGAUGCAGCGACGCCGCGUGAGGGAUGACGGCCUUCGGGUUGUAAACCUCUUUCAGCAGGGACGAAGCGAGAGUGACGGUACCUGCAGAAGAAGCACCGGCCAACUACGUGCCAGCAGCCGCGGUAAUACGUAGGGUGCGAGCGUUGUCCGGAAUUACUGGGCGUAAAGAGCUCGUAG